UUAAAGUAAUUUUAUUUUUUUAUUGUAUUGUUAUCUUAUUCAGUAAGAAACAAAAUAUGCAGUUCUCUUAUAUUUUAGCUGUUUCCUUAUAUUAAUUAAUAUUAUUUUUUUUUUCUACUAUAUUCAAAAAGCAAUUCACAAAGAGAUAGAAACCAACCAUUAUGACAUGUUAAAGAUAGCUGUCUGAUUACCAUUAGCUUACAACUUAAAUCAUUUUAAAACCCACUUUUGUGACACCCAAUUUUUCAGUUUAAACAUGGCUUAUUUUUUCAUAAAACAUAUUUUAUCUGCUAACAGUCAUAAUAAUUUGCAGAUGUUGAUUAUGAACUUAUCUUCAGCGAUUUUAGACUUUUGAUAUGAACAUGCGUGACACCAUCUCCAGUUCCAUAAUGCAAACGUUAUAUAUUCCAAAGUGGUUUCUCUUAUGACCCACCAUCAAUGUUUCAAGUGGAUUUCUUUCCAAACACCCGCUUAAUAAUUAUAAAAUUAUUUUACUAAAUUCUUCAUUAUUUUCAGAAUUAAUUGAAACAAAGAUAAUGUAUUUCAACACAAAUAUGGUAACAAAAGAGAUAAAGAAAGGUUUUAAGUUCAAAACCAUGUGAUGUCUAUUCAGUUAAAGCAAAAGUACUUCAUUGAAAUAUGGUUACUAUGUUGAAUACUGUCCAAAUGUAAAGUGGAAACAUUUUCUUUUCUUUUUUGUUAUUUUUUUUUUGCAUCUUUUCUGUUUUUCACAUUCCUUAAGUCUGUCUGCUUAUUUAAAUAUCUGGUAAACAUUAAAAUUUUCUCUCCAAGGAUGAGCUUUGCUUAAAACAUCAGUACUCACGUUUCUUUAUGGUAUGAGAAAUUAUCCGAACUUGAGAACAGUUUUAGAUGUUAGCAAUAAAGUAGUAAGGGGUGUCUUCAGGUCCUGCUACUCCUGACCAGUAAUAAUAUCCAUAUGAACAGAGUGGCUCUAGUGAUAGAUCUUGGCAGUAGUAACUUCCAAAUCCCCACAGUUGCAGCAAUAACAAAUCUAGGCAGUAGUAAGGAGUAUGUGAGCAUAAUUGCAAUGUAGGCGAAUUUUGGUACUAUUAAUGUACAUAUGAGUAAAGUUGCUGUAAUGACAAACCUAAGCAUUAGUAAUGUCCAUGUGAGUAGAGUUAUUGUAAUGACUGAUUUGGUCAGUAGAUACGACCAUGUCACCAGAGUUACUGUAAUGACCAAUCUAUGCAGUUGUAGUGUGCAUAGGAAUAAAACUCCUAUUUCAAAUGUUGAUAUAAUUUUUUCCCUGAUCAUCUUUGAUUGACAGUAUAUAAUUUUAGAGGAAUGAGAUAAAAGGGUUCAAGGUUCUAACUGCUGAGGAACUUCCUUAUCAAGAUAGCUGUUGUCAUCAGGCGUCAAGCAGUUUAAUGGAGAUCAAAGCUUAACCUUCAGAAAAGAUAAAAAUGUUGCAUAUCAAGUAGCUUAGAUUAAAUAUUUCUGACAGACGAGAAACAAAAUCAGAUGAAUUUGUCAUAACAAACAACCUAGAAUGAGUAACAGUUUCGGUCAUAAGGUCUUCUCUUUUCUAUGUGAGAGUCACAGCUAUUAAGUUGGUUGCAUUGCAAUUUGUAAGCUUACUAAACUAGAUGUAGAUCUACUCCAACAAGUUGUACUUGAAAAUAUGUACUCUCAUUAAGUUAGAUGUAGCUUGAAUAGAAAUAGUCUUGCUAGGAAGAAAGGUAAAAUCAUGGUUAGAGGUGCUAUAGUAAAAGUACCAUGCUGGAAACGAAAUAUUUUUGCUGGGUGCUGAAAUGCUAUCUUCUUGAGUAUUAUACAAAGUUGCAUCAGUAUUUAACCAGAGUCAAAUGAGUCAAAUUAGGAAUUCUCUUACUUUUCGCUACCCAUCGAUGACAUUGUUGCAGAAAACCUCAAAAGAAAUGUCAUUGGUGCUGUUCCUCUCCUUCCAAACUAAAAUAAUAAAAAUAUCAUGUGGUAAGAUAAUCUACCAAAUUUUGGCUCUGAACAUCCUUCUCUUCCUUCAGUAUGGAAAAAAAUAGAUGCUACUCAAAUACUUUCGUACUUCACAUUUGUUACGCUCUUCCUCUUAUAUUUUUUAUAAUGGUCUUUUUUUUCUUUUUAUUAUUAUUAUAGUGUGUGUUUCAUAACCUAUCACUAUUUCCGCAUACAAAGUAAGAAACAUCAAGUAAAACAUUGCUGCAUUAUAAUAUCAUAAAAAAGAUCCCAUUCAAGUUGGUUUUUCUUUCUUUAUUUAUGUGGUUUAGUCAGGAGGUAGAGGGCUACGGUUAUGACCCCUGUAGGUCUUCUGGUGAAACUAAUGAGGUUUAUGCGUGGAGAAAAAAUGAAGGAUGAAAGAGAAAUCCAGGGCUUCUUGGUUAGAGACACUCUUCUUGUGAAGUAAAUGGCACAGUUAGUAGAGUGGGUCAUGACAGAUAGGGGGGGGGAGACAAAGUAUGAACGACAAGAGGAACAGAGAAAUGGGGGAACAUGGCAGAUUAUGUUGUGAAAAUACAGUUACCUCCUUGAGAUCAUCAGAAGUUGUGAGGCUUACCAUUAAUAGAAACUUUGAAAGUUUUUAUUGCAUGUUGUCCAAGACUAGGGAAAAUGAGGUCCAUUGUUUCCUUUGGUAAGAUCAAUGAUUCUGUCUUUCUUCUGUUGAAGAAGACAAAUUGAAUAUGUAUUCUCCUAUUAGAUAAUAUUUUCAAGGUCUCUGUUUAUGAUCUGAAGUGUAUAGGUUGCAUUUGAAUGGCGUGAGUAUGUGGAAAGCAAGGGCAAAGUGAAAAGUGUUAUUCAUGUUCGAGGGAGCAAGAUUAUUUGAGGUGUUUUAUUGAAUAGUUUGUUUAUGUACAGGUGAAAGAAUUUGGGUAGCAUAAAUGAACUGAACCAGAGUUCAAGGAAACCCUCACCAACAGAAAUGGUCUCCCAAGGAACUUCUUACUCAAAAGAUGUAAGACAGACAAUUUAGCCAGACACAUUUCAUAAAGUGCUGUGACAUUGUUUUACUCUAUUUUUCAAGAACAAAGGAUAGGACCACUGGUGAGUGAUUUAGGAAAGAAAUUCUCCAAAAGAGUUCGCUCUAUGUCAGCCAUGCCAGUUGUAAUUGAAGAGAGAGAAAAGUUGAAGGUGUAAAGGUGAUUGUUAAUGAUUGUUUCCAUCAUUUUUGAGAGGUUUCAAGUAAAAGUGAUGUUGCACUGAGGCAGGAUUCCAAAGAUCAGGGCAGAAUUCUUUUAGUGAGAGAGAGAGAAAGGUUGAAAAGUUUCAUGAAAGUACAGGAAAGAGAAAGAAAGGUUGAAAAGUUUCAUGAAAGUACAGGAAAGAGAGAGAAAGGUUGAAAAGUUUCAUGAAAGUACAGGAUAAGUGUAGGAAACACUGAGAACAAUGGAAAGGAUUGUUGGUUUAAAGUGAACUAAGAUGUUUCCACAUGGUGGAGUGGAGAAAGGUUUGGUGGAGUUUUACUUAGUGUGUACAAUGUUGAACUGGAUGCAGACAUAGAAGCUUUCUCUUUAGGAGACAUCAUGCUUAAGGAGUAGUGGGAGGAAGGAUUCUGAAUAGUUGGUGGAAACCUUGGAAGAGAUAAAAAAAAAAUAAGGCUAGUUGCACUUUAAGAGGUUAUCAUUAUGUAAGGUUGUCUUUUGUUUUAUGGAUGGUUGUCUUUCAGGAUUUCUAGUGGCAGGUAAAAUCCACCCAAUUUGAAAUGGUGAGUGGGAUUUUUUCUUCCUAAUACGAGGGAUAGUAUAUAACUGGUAGAGCUUCAGUCAGUUAGUGCCAUAGGGUUUAAAUGGUUGAGGGCAUCUCUCCAAUUCAGGUGAACACAUUAGAUAUACACAAACAUAUAAUGGGUUUUUACACAGUUUGCAUCUACCAAAUUUAACUCAAAACUCUCAGUAGUUAAUCCAAGGCAAUAAUGAAUGAGUUGUGCCGUGGGAUCAAGCUUAGAACUAUUCUGUUAACUUGGUUUUGAAGCAAACUUCUAAAGCACACAACUAUGCCUGAAUGUUUAGGGCUAGGGUGAAGGUAACUUAUUGGGAACGAAGAUUAUUUACAAACUAAUGAGCAGCUGAAGGUUAGCUAACAAAUGGGUGGCUGGUGAUGUGGAGGAGCAUCAAAAAGUGGUGUAGGUAUAACUUUUGGGACUAAGAUUUAAGUUAAAGAUGGUUUUAUUAGAAGAAUGGGGUAAAUAAUUUAAGUUAAAAGCCAAGAAAAUCAAUAACUUUGGUGUAAAAUAAUUGGAAAAGAAAAA